GCGGAAGUAGUUCAGUGGUAGAAUACGACCUUGCCAAGGUCGGGGUCGAAUCCCGUCUUCCGCUCCA
rnacentral:tRNA from 1 species